rnacentral:misc_RNA from 1 species
GUUGAGUUGAGUUGAGUUGCAUUUGAUAUUAAGGUUGCAACAUCUGUUCCAGUUACCAAUAUGAUCUACAGUCUGCUACUAAGUCUUGCAAGAAGCCAUAUGUUACAUUUUGAAAUUCUUAAUUCAAUUUCCUUCUUUUUUAAAUUUUUCUAAAAGAGAUAAGUUUCUCCUUCUUCCUAUUUGCACAAAUUUACUAAUUUGGAAAAAAAUAUAUUCAGAGAGCAAAACUCA